rnacentral:misc_RNA from 1 species
AUUUUGAUGAACCCAGUAAGUUCCAUUUCUGAAAAAUGUUAGCCAUUUUCCACAAAACUUUCGCACACCCACCUGAGGAACUUAACAGCCCUGCCUCUUUCACUGGCUCUAAGCCCCCUAAGCUUCCUCAAGAAACACUCAGUGACUUUCUUUCUCGUCAUCCUCAAAACACUUUCUCUGUUAACUUUGGCCAAGCCGCUGUUCUUGCUUAUGUUUCUCCCCAUCGACCCUUUUCUAUCCACCAAAGGCUGUUCUGUGGGUUUGAUGACAUAUACUGUCUAUUCUUGGGAACUUUAAACAAUCUAUGUGCACUGAAUAAGCAAUACGGUCUAUCAAAAGGCUCAAAUGAGGCUAUGUUUUUGAUUGAGGCGUAUAGGACACUUAGGGACAGAGGUCCUUACCCAGCUGAUCAGGUCCUUAAGGAGCUUGAUGGCAGCUUUGCCUUUGUUGUUUAUGAUAGUAGGGCUGGUACUGUUUUUGCUGCCUUGGGUGCUGAUGGGGGAGUGAAACUCUAUUGGGGAAUUGCAGCAGAUGGGUCAGUGGUGAUAUCAGACGAUGUGGAUGUCAUCAAAGAAGGUUGUGCUAAAUCAUAUGCCCCAUUUCCAACAGGAUGCAUGUUCCAUAGUGAAGGAGGUCUAAUGAGUUUUGAGCAUCCAAUGAACAAGAUGAAAGCAAUGCCCAGAAUUGACAGUGAAGGUGCCAUGUGUGGAGCUAACUUCAAGGUAGAUGUGUACACAAGGGUGAACAGCAUCCCAAGGAGAGGCAGUGAAGCUAAUUGGGCUGAAUGGGACACAAACUAGACACACAUAUACAACUCUCUCUUCUCUCUGUGCUGUUUUCACGAUUUAGCUCUUCUAAGUCUCUCUAACAUCUCUUUCUUAAGCUCCAAUGGCUUGUAAUUAUUUUUCACAAUAAAAUUUCUCUUUUCCUUCUUACUUCUUCAUAUAUGUAAAUCAACAAAUAAACACUUCUUGUUGAGGAUAUUUUCAGGGAGAAAU